GUGUUGGAAAAAUCACAGAUGUCAUCUGGGAAUGCUCAGAGCCUUGGGCUUUCACGCUGAGACAGACUCGCUUCCACCGGAACCUCAGCCUUUUAAGGCUAAAUCAAGGCCGUGACUUCCUCAGCUGAAUCAACCUGACACUGUUCCCUGAGCUCACUGGGAUCCUAUUGGCAGAGCGUCAGCCCCGUCAUGGAAAGAAUGCCUCCACCAGGGAGGACUGGGUUAGUCCCCAUCCUGAACUGGAUCAUAAACACCCACCUUGUCAUAAAGCUGCUGUGAGUCUUACAAUGGGAAGAUGGGGGAGGCAGCACACUGGGGUCAGGAGUGGAGAUACUUAGGCUCCCCAGAGAAAUUAGUCACAAGUCUUAUCCCUUCAUCUCCAUUUACAGCCAUUUAUUUGGGAGCAACAUACUUUAAAUGAGUGAUAAACAAAAUGUCUCCCCACAGCCCCCACCCCAGCAUGUGUUCUGAAGUUCACAGGAAGGCUUCUCCUCAUUUGCUUUGGGGCCCGCAGGCUGCCUGCUAACAGCUGGGUCUUCCCAUGAACAAAUUAGACAGUUAAUGUUCCAGGAUGAAGAGGGCUUCGGGGAACAGAAUCUGCCGUUUAUUUGACUUGCUUCAUUAGACACAGUGCCAUCAUACCAAAAUUAGAAAAAAGAAGGAACUCAGCGGAAAUCAGCUACACAAGAAGAACCUCUCAGUUCUGAGAAUUCACAUUAACCAGUGAUUAAGAAAUAUUAAAAAGGUAUAGUUCUUGGCUGUGCUGAGGAUCUGUAAGGCACCAGAUGUGAAAGUAAGGAAGAAAGAUGGAUGUGGAAGAAAGUCACUGCCCAGAGAAUAAGGAGACCUGGAUUCUAAUCUCAGCUCUGCCAUUAACUAGCUGUGAGACUCAAGAAUAACUAAUCAUUUUGAUAACUCGUUUUUUUACUUUUUAAAAUGAGGAGCCAAGUUUAGACAAUGAGCUCGGCUCUUCACCAGUGAUAAAGUGUCUGGGACAUGCUUCCAUUCAAGCAAUGCUCUUCCUUCUUGGUAAGACAGUGAGAUCCCCAUGAUGGAGCCAGUGUAGUAUUGCCCAGUAGGCAGGGAGAUGAAGAGCCCUGGAAUCCCCUUUAAUCAAUGGCCCUUAGCUCAGAGACCAUUUCUGCACCAGGCUGGAGGGAAGAAGCCCUUCUCUCAGGUUCUUGCCGAGGCCUGCUAUUUAAAACAGAUGGCACACACGGGCAGUCCAUUCCCACACCCCUUCCACUCUCUAAGCACUUUGAAUAUAUUAAAACCUUUUCUUACCUCUCAGUUCCAAUUUGGUACUCAAGCCCAUGUGAACACUAAAGCCAUUAACCCAAAA
rnacentral:lncRNA from 1 species